rnacentral:lncRNA from 1 species
CAACGCGGGUACCGUUGCACGCUGUGGAGGGUUUAGCUCUUUGCAAUAAAUCUUGCUGCUGCUCACUCUUUGGGUUGGCACUGCCUUUAUGAACUGUAACACUAACCACGAAGGUCUGCAGCUUCACUCCUGAAGCCAGCGAGACCACGAACUCACCAGGAGGGACGAACAAUUCCAGAUGGGAGGAACAAACAACUCCGGACACGCCACCUUUAUGAACUGUAACACUCACCGCGAAGGUCUGCAGCUUCACUCCUGAGGCCAGCAAGACCAUGAACCCACCGGGAGGAAGGAAUAACUCCAGACGCAUCGCCUUUAAGAGCUGUAACACUCACCACAAAGGGAUGCAGCUUCACUCCUGAUGUCAGCCACGAACCCACCAGAAGGAAGAAACUCCGGACCCAUCUGAACAUCUGAAGGAACAAACUCCGGACACACCAUCUUUAAGAACUGCAACACUCACUGCGAGGAUCCGCGGCUUCAUUCUUGAAGUAAGCGAGUCCAAGAACCCACCAAUUCUGGACACACUUCCACAUUUGUGACGUCUCUCCCCUCAUUCUGACUGGUAUCAAGCACAAGAAAUAAUUUCCCCCAACUCAGUUUCUCACUGGAAAAAAUGAGGUUGAGGUGGAUAACCAACUUCAUCAUCCUGGGUUCCAUGGCAAGAGACCCAUCCCUACCUUAGAGCCACAGGAAGCACUGUGAGUGCCUGAAAAGAGAAAUAUCCCUGAGAACAGUCAGAACCGGUGGGGAGGGAAGACUACCAUCCCCUGCCCUGGGAACUGCUUUGUAAAUCAGCCAAACAAGACACCAAAUCAGAGUGACUGUUCAGCAGCACCAUACUGCAGAAGGUUUGUUCCACAGGUCUCCUGGGGACGAACUUCUAGCCAACCUUCCUACACUGCCAGGAUAUCCCCUUAGGGACCUCUGCCACUCAGAAAGGGCAUGCUCUGAUCAUUUACUAGAGCUGAGGUGAACCUGGCGUAAAGACGCCAC